UGACGCUGGCGGCAGGCCUAACACAUGCAAGUCGAGCGGUAACAGGGGUAGCUUGCUACCCGCUGACGAGCGGCGGACGGGUGAGUAAUGCAUAGGAAUCUGCCCGAUAGUGGGGGAUAACCUGGGGAAACCCAGGCUAAUACCGCAUACGUCCUACGGGAGAAAGGGGGCUCCGGCUCCCGCUAUUGGAUGAGCCUAUGUCGGAUUAGCUAGUUGGUAAGGUAAUGGCUUACCAAGGCAACUGAUCCUGUAGCAUGGUCUUGAGAGGAUGAUCAGCCACAUCCGGGACUGAGACACGGCCCGAACUCCUACGGGAGGCAGCAGUGGGGAAUAUUGGACAAUGGGGGCAACCCUGAUCCAGCCAUGCCGCGUGUGUGAAGAAGGCCCUCGGGUUGUAAAGCACUUUCAGCGAGGAAGAACGCCUAUCGGUUAAUACCCGGUAGGAAAGACAUCACUCGCAGAAGAAGCACCGGCUAACUCCGUGCCAGCAGCCGCGGUAAUACUGAGGGUGCAAGCGUUAAUCGGAAUUCUGGGCGUAAAGCGCGCGUAGGUGGCUUGAUAAGCCGGUUGUGAAAGCCCGGGCUCAACCUGGGACGGCAUCCGGAACUGUCAGGCUAGAGUGCA
rnacentral:rRNA from 1 species